rnacentral:rRNA from 1 species
CCCUUAGAUGUUCUGGGCUGCACGCGCGCUACACUGAUGCGUUCAACGAGUUUAUGACCUUGCCCGAUAGGGUUGGGUAAUCUUUUUAAAUCGCAUCGUGAUGGGGAUAGAUUAUUGCAAUUAUUAAUCUUCAACGAGGAAUUCCUAGUAAGCGCGAGUCAUCAGCUCGUGCUGAUUACGUCCCUGCCCUUUGUACACACCGCCCGUCGCUCCUACCGAUGGGGUGAUCCGGUGAAUGAUUCGGACUCUGUAGACUCGCCAUGAGUUUUGACGGAGAAAGUCUUGUGAACCUUAUCACUUGGAGGAAGGAGAAGUCGUAACA